UCGUCAUCACGUAUGAGAACUUUUUUUAUUGGACACGAAUAACAAUAUUUUAGAAUUUUCAUCCGUACUGGGUUUUAUAUACCGUGGGACGAACUUCGUGAACAUAAGAAUGAAUUGCCAGGAUAACUUUCUCCUAGUUGAAAAUGUUGUUGAUUUUUCUUAUCGAAACGUUUAACCGUUAUAAUAGUUAGAACUAGUUUACAUUCUCUACGAAUCCGCUGUAUGGAAAAAUCAUGGGUCCAUUUUCCGUUUGAUUGUCCAUUUUAUGAAAACCGGUCAAGCAGAAACAAAUAUGCAGACAGGACCGAACUCGACUACAAUGCCUACAACAAUUGUUUAAGCGGUUUACGAUGAUUUUUUUUUUGAUUUUUUGAUAUCAUACCCAUUGAAAUAAUGUGCCACC